rnacentral:rRNA from 1 species
AGCGAACGCUGGCGGCAGGCCUAACACAUGUAAGUCGAACGAACUCUUCGGAGUUAGUGGCGGACGGGUGAGUAACACGUGGGAACGUGCCUUUUGGUUCGGAAUAACUCAGGGAAACUUGUGCUAAUACCGAAUGUGCCCUUCGGGGGAAAGAUUUAUCGCCAUUAGAGCGGCCCGCGUCUGAUUAGCUAGUUGGUGAGGUAACGGCUCACCAAGGCGACGAUCAGUAGCUGGUCUGAGAGGAUGACCAGCCACACUGGGACUGAGACACGGCCCAGACUCCUACGGGAAGCAGCAGUGGGGAAUCUUGCGCAAUGGGCGAAAGCCUGACGCAGCCAUGCCGCGUGAAUGAUGAAGGUCUUAGGAUUGUAAAAUUCUUUCACCGGGGACGAUAAUGACGGUACCCGGAGAAGAAGCCCCGGCUAACUUCGUG